UUCGCAAUGCCCGAAAGGGUGACGAAGCGACGCCGCGUGCGGGAAGAAGGCCCUCGGGUUGUAAACCGCUGUCGGGAGUUAGGAAGUGCAAGGAUGUUAAUAGCGUUCUUGCUUGACUAAGGCUCCGGAGGAAGCCACGGCUAACUCUGUGCCAGCAGCCGCGGUAAUACAGAGGCGGCAAGCGUUGUUCGGAAUUAUUGGGCGUAAAGAGCACGUAGGCGGCUGUGUAAGUCGGUUGUGAAAGCCUUCCGCUUAACGGAAGAACGGCAUCCGAUACUGCAUAGCUUGAGUGCGGGAGGGGAGAGUGGAACUUCUGGUGGAGCGGUGAAAUGCGUAGAUAUCAGAAGGAACACCGGCGGCGAAGGCGACUCUCUGGUCCGUAACUGACGCUGAGUGUGCGAAAGCUAGGGGAGCAAACGGGAUUAGAUACCCCGGUAGUCCUAGCCGUAAACGAUGGGCACUAAGUAGAGGGGUUUU
rnacentral:rRNA from 1 species